AACAAGGCGUACCUGCGGACCUGCGGAGGGAUCAUUACCGAGUUUACAACUCCCAAACCCAUGUGAACAUACCUAUCGUUGCUUCGGCGGGAUCGCCCCGGGCGCCUCGUGUGCCCCGGAUCCGGCGCCCGCCUAGGAACCUUAACUCUUGUUUUAUUUUGGAAUCUUCUGAGUAGUUUUUACAAAUAAAUAAAAACUUUCAGCAACGGAUCU
rnacentral:misc_RNA from 1 species